GGAGAGCCUCAAUGGUUUGGUUGUUAGGCAAAAUGUCAACGUUUGGAGAUUGAAACACCAGGGUGUAUGUUUGUAACCCACCUGCCGGCAGACAAAGAUAAGUUUGUUUCAUACAGAAAGAAAAGGGGGGUUGGGGGGGUUGGCAGGCAAAAGUUGUAAGUGAAGGUAGCGAGCUAUGAGAAGAUCAGGGGUGAAUCCUGGACAAAGGUUUUGUUCCAACUUUUUGUUUUUCCAGGUUGAAUAGCUGUUAACAAGGGUAACCCCUGUGAGGGCCGGAUAGGGGAUGUUGGUGGGGGAGGAGGUGAAGGCUGUUUGGUUUUGGAGAGAGACAGAAAUAGGUUUUCGUUAACAAGUAGCUACUGCAGUACGGGUAGGGCAGAAGGAUAUAGGUUGCAGCUGAGGGAAUUGUGUGUGCAUUUUUUCCAGGGAGCGCCCUUGAGUUGGUUACACGGAGAGCAGUGCUGGCAGAGAGGGGAGGGGUUGAUAAGAGGUGUUCUAUGGAAUCCAACUUGUAACAUGUUUAGAUGUUAAGAGGCAAAGGAGAGUGACAGCCCUGUGUGUGACGGUGUGGGUGGAUAUGAUGGAUUGCGGGGAAAGGUGUUUAGCCGAACAAGAUUAUAAACAGGUUUUGGGAAUGAAUUGGCCAAGUAGGUGAGAUGCAGGUUUAUUUUGGGCCAAGUUUCUGCAGUUAGAUUAACAGGAAGGGCUGUGAACUGCUGGAUUUGUGUGGACAAACAAAUUUACAGUUGGAAGAAAGAGGGGAGUGUGACUGAUUUAAGAGAAAUGUGUGAGGCUGAUGAAGGGGCCCGACUGCCAGAGGUUGGGGGUGAGGACUUAGCAUAUCCCACAAAGGACAAAAUGAAAAAAGGCAAUUUGAGUAGGAGUGAAAUUCUGAAAGGUACCCUGUAGCCAUAGCUCCUGGAUUGAUGUGAGGAAUUCGAGUGGAGUAUCCAGGGACGUGGGGAGGGAAAGAUCUGAAACAAGGUAUGAGAUAAAAUAUUUGAAAUUGGAGGCAGAGAGUGUUACGGACCAGGGCCUUCUGGAUAGGCAACUUCUGCACCCUUGUUAAGCGCAGUGAGGUUGGUCCUGUGAGGGAGGAAGAAUAGUUUUUGUGGGGGGAGAAAUUUUCUGGAUGUGAAUCUGGAGGUUUUUUUAGUUUGGAAUUGUGUAUCCAGUGUGGGAAGGGUGUUAGCUUUGCUGCCGUGGGAGUAGCUAGAAUAACCUGGUGAGGACCCGUCCACUUUGGUAGGAGAGGGGAGGAGGAGGGGUCUGUGAUCCAGACCCAGUCCCCCCUGGUUGUAGGGACAGGGAGGAGUGUUUUGAGGAUGGACUUUCAGGCGGCGGCAAUGCUGCUGGGUUAGGGUCUCCCUGACUGAACUGGUCUCGGCAAGUGACGUCCAUUGUGGGGGCUCGAAUCCAGGUUGAAGGGUCACUGGAGCAACGGAGAAUGUGGAACUAAGCUGGAGGACACCCAAGUACUCUUAAAGCCAUCCCUGUGGUGAGUAAGGGGAGCUCAGAAGCAUCAGGGUAACAGUGGGACAAAUGUGGGGUCUGGUGCGUUCUCCCUUGGAACUUUUUCACACUGAUGAUGAGGAGGAAGGAGAGUAAAACGAAGUAACAGAAGAGGUUACAGAGCAGGUUUAUUUGCCAAUUUG
rnacentral:lncRNA from 10 species